CCGCAUUCUCGUCAUCACCACCCCUGUGUUUUCCAUUCUCAUCGUUUCCACCACCGCCACCCGAGUUGUUGUUGUUGCUGUUAAUAUCACCACCAUCGCCGCCGGCGCAGAAGGUUAAGAACGGGGAAGAUCGGCUGUGACGGAGACAGGUGGCGGAGGAGGAAAGGCGGAGGUGGAGGUGGAGAGGGAAAGUGGUGGGGAAUUUAGGGGUGAUGGUAAGGGAACUAGGAGAGGAAAGUGGGGAAGGGGUGAGAAGGCAGGCGGCGAUGGACAUUGGUGGCGGCAGGUGGUGUCAGAGGCGGAGUUUUGGUCAGAGAAGUAAUGGAAAGAGGUGUGUAAUAAUGAAAGGUUUGUCGUUGGCUAGUUGAUCAAAGUUGAAGGAUCUGAAUCUAAGCAAACGCCAGACCACUUUCUAAGACAGUUUUUGUCUGAAA
rnacentral:lncRNA from 1 species